CAGUCAGAUAGUGGCGCAAGGGGUGGGGGAAUCUAUCAAAUAUGAGUGACUUCUCAGCUCCAUGCCAGUGAUUCUAAUGUAUGUAACUAAAUCUAAACAUUAUAUGAAUGAAUAAAGAAAUUGAUUUUAAGGUAGAAUUUUGGUGACAAAGGCAAAAGUCCUUUUUUUUGCCAAACGGAAAUAGACAAUUUAAAAAAAGAAAAAAAGAAAGCUUUUAAUGAGUUGUAUGUGUCAUGGUUCUCCAUAGAAACAGAACCAACAGGAUAGACAGAGAGAAAGAGACAGAACGAGAAAGGGAGAGAGAUGAUAGGCAAUAUCUGUGUGUGUGUGUGUGUGUGUGUGUAUGUAGUCCAUCUGUCUAUCUUAUCUAUCAUCUCUUUAUCUAUCGAUAUAGAUAGAUAUUUAUGUUAAGGAAUGGGCUCACACAAUUAAGGGAGCUGGCAAGUCUGAAAUCCAUAUAGGCAGGCCAGCAAGCUGGAAACUCAGGGAGGAUUUCUCUGUUACAGUGCUGAGGCAGAAUUUCUUUUCCACAAGAAAGCUAUUUUUGCUUUUAUGGACUUCAUCUUAUUGGAUGAGGCCAACCCACAUUAAAGAGGGUAAUCUCUCUUGUUUAAGGUCAACUGAAUGAAAAAGUUAAUCAUAUCUACAAAAUGCCCUCACAGCAACAUCUAGACUAGUGUUUGACUAAACAACUGUGCACCAUAGCUUAGCCCAGUUGACACAUAAAAUCAACCAUCACAGAAAUAUUGAAGCCAAAGAAGAGGAAAGAAUGUGAAAGGAGUACGGGAAAUCUCCUUGCCCUUGUUCCACAAUUAAAGAGAAGUUAGUCAACUGUGGGGUAACUUUUACAGUCACCCUGGAUUGGGACAUUGAAGGGAACUGAUCUGAAUUAUAAUUAAGGUUUUGCUCCAGAAAACACUCAGCCAAGAGCUGUGGACUCAGGAAACCACGCUUCUUCUUUUCAUCAAUCUCAAAGGAACGUUCUCUUUCUGUAAUUGGUGCCGCCCAGAGAAUUCUCCAGUGUGUAUGGACUGCCUCUGGCCAAGGCUUCCCGGCUGCAUGUGAGGGACGGGAACAGGAGUGCUGUGGCUGUGCCUGGACCCACACUCAUUAAUCAUCCUAAUGAAGUAGAGCCAGUCAUCUUUGUCAAAUCAUUGGUCAAUCAACUAACUGCAAAAUAUCAGAACAAGGUCUUGGAUGGAGUUGAUCAUAUUUUGCUCCGGUGCAUGGUUGUACAUCCUAGUUGCAAGUCCUUCUAGUUCUUUUAUGUGAGCCGCUGCCAUAGUAUGACAACUGACAGAUGGGUGAUGUGGUUCCUCGACCAGGAAAUGAACACGGGCCGCCAAAGCAGUGAAAGCACUGAACUUUAACCACUAGACCAUCAGGACUGACUCUGGGGUUUUUCAAUUGUGGACUCGAGGUUGGUGGACAAUGAGAACUGCAUAGUUGCUCGCCAUCCUUCAAUUCAGGAUCCACUUAAGCUUCAGGAGAAAGAGGAGAGGAUGCAAGAAGAAUGGAAGAGAAAGAGAAGGACAAGGAAGUGUGGAGAAGUAGCUUUCUUGCCUAUAUGAAUAAGCAAAAUUAAAGAUGCUACAAGAAUUGGAGCCCUGCCUAGCUCCAACCUCAAAUCCUAUCUAAAAUGGUUCCCACCUGCACCCCCAAAUCCUCCACUUUGACUGGAUUACUGAGCCCACUCACCCAUUGCCUGAUCUGGCCAAUAUUGGUUAAAAUCAAGAAUGCUUCAUCCCAAAUAUAAAUUUGUUCAUCCUUUGAAUAAAAUCAUUCUCAUUCAUUAAAUUCAGUCGGUUACGGUAGCCUUCCCAGUGUCUUCAGCUUUCCUUCCCAUGGAUGAUGGUUGCUGGUCUUUAAAAUAACAAUUAAAAGCACUCAGGUCCUGUUAUUUUGGCCCUUAGCAACAGUCAUCCCCUAGUUUCUUUAAGGGUGGGAAAGGCCAGGAAAAGGAGAAGAGAAAGUAGAAACCUGCUGGGCAUUAUUCUAAUCAGCGUUCUCCGUUUGGCAGCCAGCACAGACCAGCUCCUGUUUUGCAGAACAGUUAUCCCCAGGGCACUGGAGAGGAGAAUAGUGAGGCAGAGCAGGUGCUGGGCUUUCCCUGCUCACCAUUCAGGAAGGUUUUCAUUGCUUUGGGCCAGAAAGUCGGUAGGCUACCAGUGGAACUCUGAACUUGUUACAGGGCAUGCUCCAGUAGUAAAGUCAAUGAGCUCGCAGUGCCUCCAGACCAGGCUGAGGGUAGCAAUCUGAGAAAAGGCUCAGGGGGACAAAGUCAUCUUGGUUUGGAGAAUAGAAUGGCUGUUUAGUCAGAGAGCUGGGCUGGGAGAC
ensembl:lncRNA